GAAUCCCGUCUUUGACACGGACUACCAGUGCUUAUGUGAUGCGCUCUCAAAGAGUCGAGUUGUUUGGGAAUGCAGCUCAAAAUGGGUGGUAAAUUCCAUCUAAAGCUAAAUAUUGGCGAGAGACCGAUAGCGAACAAGUACCGUGAGGGAAAGAUGAAAAGCACUUUGGAAAGAGAGUGAAACAGUACGUGAAAUUGUUGAAAGGGAAACGCUUGAAGUCAGUCGCGUCGACCGAGACUCAGCCUUGCCUUGGCUUGGUGUACUUCUCGGCCUGACGGGUCAGCAUCAAUUUUGCCCUUUGGAUAAUGGCAGGGGAAAGGUGGCACCUUUACGGUGUGUUAUAGUCUCUCGUCGCAUGCAAGGGUUGGGAUUGAGGAACUCAGCACGCACCUUUGGGUGUCGGGGUUUUGCCCACGAUACGUGCUUAGGAUGUUGGCGUAAUGGCUUUAAACGACCCGUCUUGAAACACGGACCAAGGAGUCUAACAUGCCUGCGAGUGUUCGGGUGGAAAACUCGUGCGCGCAAUGAAAGUGAAAGUUGGGACCUCUGUCGUGGAGGGCACCGACGCCCGGACCAGACCUUCUGUGACGGCUCUGCGGUAAAGCAUGUAUGUUAGGACCCGAAAGAUGGUGAACUAUGCCUGAAUAGGGUGAAGCCAGAGGAAACUCUGGUGGAGGCUCGUAGCGAUUCUGACGUGCAAAUCGAUCGUCAAAUUUGGGUAUAGGGGCGAAAGACUAAUCGAACCAUCUAGUAGCUGGUUCCUGCC
rnacentral:rRNA from 1 species